rnacentral:rRNA from 1 species
UCCUACGGGAGGCAGCAGUGAGGAAUAUUGGUCAAUGGGCGCAAGCCUGAACCAGCCAUGCCGCGUGCAGGAUGACGGUCCUAUGGAUUGUAAACUGCUUUUAUACAGGAAGAAACACUCCCUCGUGAGGGAGCUUGACGGUACUGUAGGAAUAAGGAUCGGCUAACUCCGUGCCAGCAGCCGCGGUAAUACGGAGGACCCAAGCGUUAUCCGGAAUCAUUGGGUUUAAAGGGUCCGUAGGCGGUCUAAUAAGUCAGUGGUGAAAUCCUUCCGCUUAACGGGAGAACGGCCAUUGAUACUGUUAGACUUGAAUUAUUAGGAAGUAACUAGAAUAUGUAGUGUAGCGGUGAAAUGCUUAGAGAUUACAUGGAAUACCAAUUGCGAAGGCAGGUUACUACUAAUGGAUUGACGCUGAUGGACGAAAGCGUGGGUAGCGAACAGGAUUAGAUACCCUGGUAGUCCACGCCGUAAACGAUGGAUACUAGCUGUUCGGAGCAAUCUGAGUGGCUAAGCGAAAGUGAUAAGUAUCCCACCUGGGGAGUACGUUCGCAAGAAUGAAACUCAAAGGAAUUGACGGGGGCCCGCACAAGCGGUGGAGCAUGUGGUUUAAUUCGAUGAUACGCGAGGAACCUUACCAAGGCUUAAAUGUAGAUUGACCGGUUUGGAAACAGAUCUUUCGCAAGACAAUUUACAAGGUGCUGCAUGGUUGUCGUCAGCUCGUGCCGUGAGGUGUCAGGUUAAGUCCUAUAACGAGCGCAACCCCUGUCGUUAGUUGCCAGCGAGUCAUGUUGGGAACUCUAACGAGACUGCCAGUGCAAACUGAGGGGAAGGUGGGGGAUGACGUCAAAUCAUCACGGCCCUUAUGUCCAGGGCUACACACGUGUUACAAUGGCCGAUACAAAGGGCAGCUACCAGGUGACUGGAUGCUAAUCUCUAAAGUCGGUCUCAGUUCGGAUCGAAGUCUGCAACUCGACUUCGUGAAGCUGGAUUCGCUAGUAAUCGCAUAUCAGCCAUGAUGCGGUGAAUACGUUCCCGGGCCUUGUACACACCGCCAU